GUUUUGCAUGUCGGUGCUGAUGUCUGGGGAGAGACCUGUGCCUCCAAAGAAGCCUCCCGUAGUAAAAGAAAAAAAAAGCAGUUAGACCAUACAAACACAGGAACCGAAUCCCACACUCCCCACUUCCCGCUAUUGCUGCAGAGCCCAGCCUUCUAGUCUCAAUUUGCUUUUUUUCUUUGGGCGCCCUUUGUCUCCAACCCGAUGGCACAGCAACCGUGGCUCGAGAGGCAGCUGAAAAGCCCGAUCGGCAAAACCCUGAAUGAAGAAAGAGCUCCUUUCUCCAGGAGCCAAAAGGGGACGAAAAGCACUUUUCCCCCGACCAGCUGCUCUCCCGCUCCCGCAGCCCCGGCGCUGGCCGGGGACAUGCGCCGUGGCCAGAUGUUGGGGUCCCCGACGGCGCCGCGGGGCAAGUGACAAUACGGGCUCUGUGUGCCGCCGGCCCCCGAGCGAUGUGUCGGGGUCUGGCGAGCCGCCGUGCCGCCUCCAGCGCCGGCACAAGGGUUCUCCCGGCCCCUGGCGCUGCCCGUAACUCCCUUCCCGGGGCUGGCGCUCGGCUCAGCCCAGCUGCCCAGGGUCAGUGAGCCGUGGCAGCGAGGGGAAGCCGUUCUUUCGGCGGCAUUGUCCCGUCGGAGCGAGAAUCCCCCGGGAUUGUCCGGCCACUGGCCACGUCCCCGCAGGCUUCCUCUCAGGCGCCUGGCCUCCUGGCUCGACCCUCGCCUGCCACGUGGAUGUCCCCAGCGAGGCACGGCCCCCGUGGGGAAACGGUGAUGGGGUAUUCCUGUGCAGCUUCAUCCUCAUCCUCGGAGGAUGCGCCUGGACCACAGCAUCGUCUGGCGCUGGGCUCCAUUGUGCUGAGGAAUGUGCACGCGGUUUUCCCCUUGAAUAGCUCCUCUGAGACUGCAGCGACCCUGAAACACUGCAGGGCCCCAGCACAGCCCCUCUGGAGGAGAAGGGUUUACUUACGGGUGCCACUGUCUCCUCUAAGGUGCAGUGCAGCAUCUCUGCUGCCUCUCACCACCCCGCUGUGCUGCCGGUGAUGCCACUCCCCGUGUUGUAAGCAAGGGUGGGUGCACAAGGUUUAAUAUUAGCACUUCCUUCCCUUUCCCCCCAUCCAUCUUACAGAGCGCUGCCUGCUCCACAGCAUCCUCUGGGCAGCCUUCAUCCAGGCUGCACGGUGCCAUAGACAGAGAAAGCCACUUAAUAUAGAUGAUCUGACACUGAAGUGCACCAUCUUCUAGUGUGGACCCUGAUGGAGCUGAUCUGUAACUCCUGGAGGCAUUUCAUCUCCCUGUGAAUGCAAACAGCCGGGGAUUCCUCCAAUGCCCAUCAACACAUCUUCGUCUGGUGAGAGUGACCAGCAAGAACCCAUCAGCCUUGUUCAUGCAAGAGGGGUUUGAUACGUCGGUCUCACAACAGCCUGUACCACCCUUCAUCCCCCCACAAGUGCUCCCAGCACUUAGGAUCACAGCAAUACAAUUUGCAAUUGGCAAGUUUAAUGGCUUGGUGGUCUCCGUAUCAGAACAGCUCUUGGCCUUAUAAGCAAUACUCCUGGUGGGUUUGGGCACUCCACGCAAUCAUUUCAGAUUGGUGUGAAAAGAUUGUAGCACAGUUUAAAGUGCAAAUCUCAAAGUGAACCUGGCUGCAGCCUCCAGUAGUGCUGCAGAAUAGCCCCAGGAGCUCUGUGGAUGAGCUGUCACACCCAUGUGGGCAGAGGAGCUGUGGCAUCUGUGGCUGGAGGCAUUUUCUUCCAGCUGUCCUGGAGGUGAGGGAUGUGCUUGGACUCUGCAUCCCUCCCAACCCAAGGCUCUCGGCUUUCAGGUUUCUUGAAAAUAGGAAGCAUUUUGCCCAACUGCAGAUAAAGGAGGAAUUAGGCACACAGAGCUCAACCAUGAACAGAUAUGGAAACUGCUGAAAAUGGGGAACACAAACUUCAAACAUUCCCCAGAAAAUCUGCAAUUUUCUGUCCCAGUAUAACAAGGGUGAUCUUCUCUUUGUGUUUCCAUGAAAGCCCGUAAGAGCACACCCACACCCUGAGGACAAGGAUGCUAACAAACACUGGAAUUUACAACAGCGAUUUACUCAGAAGAAAGGCUCCAGGUGAAAAGGACUGAUGCUUAAAAAAGA